rnacentral:rRNA from 1 species
UAGGGUUGAAAGAUUGGUUUCGGCUAUCACUUUAGGAUCGGACCCGCGGUGCAUUAGUUAGUUGGUGAGGUAAAGGCUCACCAAGACCGUGAUGCAUAGCCGACCUGAGAGGUAAUCGGCCACACUGGGACUGAGACACGGCCCAGACUCCUACGGGAGGCAGCAGUAGGGAAUCUUCCACAAUGGACGAAAGUCUGAUGGAGCAACGCCGCGUGAGUGAAGAAGGUUUUCGGAUCGUAAAACUCUGUUGUUGGAGAAGAAUGUAUCUGAUAGUAACUGAUCAGGUAGUGACGGUAUCCAACCAGAAAGCCACGGCUAACUACGUG